rnacentral:rRNA from 1 species
UAAGGAAUAUUGGACAAUGGGCGAAAGCCUGAUCCAGCCAUGCCGCGUGAAGGACGAAGGCGCUCAGCGUUGUAAACUUCUUUUGGAUGGGAACAAUAACUCCGACUUGUCGGAGCUUGAGGGUACCAUCAGAAUAAGCACCGGCUAACUCCGUGCCAGCAGCCGCGGUAAUACGGAGGGUGCAAGCGUUAUCCGGAAUCACUGGGUUUAAAGGGUGCGUAGGCGGCCCAAUAAGUCAGUCGUGAAAUCG